rnacentral:lncRNA from 1 species
AAGGAUGGUGGCUGGGGUUCAGUCUGCCGCUGCAAAUACCAAAAGCUGUCCUCAUUGAGUCAUCCCUCCCAGAGCAGGAAGAGCAGAGGUUCUGGGAAACAACCCCAAGGAGAGAGACAGGGCAUUUAUAAAACAGCAUGUAAGCAUCUCUGCAGUUGCUGUCCCCAGAGCCCACUUCCUGGAUAUUGCCAGCUGCCUGGACCAACCUUUCCGAAAGAUCAGCCAGGUCACAGUGAGGGUCAAAGCAGGAGGCCACUGGAGGCUCCAAGGGCUCUGAAAUGUUGAGAACUUCCCUGCAGGUACCAGCGAAGAGGGCAAGAACACAGCACUACUUCCUUGGAUACUGUUUCCCUCCUCAGAGGGGUUUUCUGAGCUGCCCUGGGUCCUGUGAGGAAGAUCUCCCCUUCCUGUAAAGACACCAGUCCUACUGGAUCAGGGCCCACCCGUGUGACUUCACUUUUACUUGAGUACCUCUCACAGACCCUAACUCCAAAUCAGGUCACUUGCUGAGGUACUGCAUGUGAAGACUUUGACAUUUGAAUUUUGAGGGGGCCACCGUUUAACCUGAACCACCAAGGACAGAGCCAAAGACCCUGGGUGACAGGCCCAGAACAGGACCUGGUGGAGGCUCUUCUUUAGGGGAGAGAGGGAAAUGGGAGCCACCACUGGCAGAGCCUGAAGGCAGGGCAGCCAGAAAGAAGCUGUGGGAGUCCCCACCAUGGAAGACCCUGCCGAGCAUCCUGUGUCUCCUGAAGCAGACCCUGACAUGAGGACUGGGGGCACGUGUUUAUUAAGGGCGAUCCCCGGAAGGAGGAGAUAACCAGGCAGAAGUCCUAGCAGAGUAUGCCCACGCUGGUUAGUGCUGCUGCAAAGAUGAGCCGAAGACCAUGAGAGACCUCCAGGUGGUCCUUCUGGGGAGAAGAAAUGGGUUUUGGCCCCAAAUCCUUCUGCUGCAUUUUUCCCCUAUCCCUGGGAAGCCAUGAGACCUCAAACCUGUGUUCCCAAGGAGGCGAGCUGCUGUUCCCAGGUGAUGAUAUGAUGUGCUUGGGGAAAGUAAGUGGCUGCCAGACAUGGCUGAGAGCUGUUGUCACUGCCGUCAAGUGCAUGUCUCCAAGCCAUAUCACACGGCGUCCCUCGAUGUGAGGCCACAUGGCAAGUGGGCCGUGGAUCUCCCUCUGCCCUUUGCAAGCACGUAAGACAGCAGAUUUUGCAGAUACCUUGUGGCGCAGGGGAAUUUCCUUUGGCCAGGUCUGAAGAAAUAAAGCAGCAGGCACCGAGAACAAAGCCAAGGCUUUCAAAAGACAAGGAGCCAAAAAACUUACUCAAAAUAAAAGUAGUUUUAAAAUGUCUCUGCCA